UGUGUUAAUACUCAGUGUCUAUCAGUUUCACUGUUUCAUCAACCCAUACACAGUGAAAAAAUAAGUGUUAGCUCUGUCUUUUGCCAUAAUAAAAAUAGAUUGCCGAGGCUGGGUUGCAGUAGCUAAAUGCUACUGCAUUGUGUGGGCAAAUAACAGAAUAACUGGAUAAAAAAUACCUGUAUUUCAGCAGACAAGCAUACGGAGAAAUUGGAGCAUCCCUUGUAAGAUGGAUACUGGUUUGUAUACAGCUUUCACUCAAGGAGCUGGUAAACUUCACUGUGGCACAAGUGUGGAAAAAUAAGAGAAACACUGAGAAGUGAAGGAAGGGAAGAAUUGCAGAUGGAAGGAGGAACAGAAACAGAAGCAGAAGGUCCCCUACAGGGCAAUUCAAAUGUGGUUCCUCAUAAGCAACUCAAGUGUCUGUCUGACUACAGCAUCAAUAAGCAUGGCAGAGACAGAAAUGAGUAAGGAUAGAAAAAUAAAGAGAAGGAAAAUAAACCCGUGUUGAAGUAGAAAGUUUUACUCAGGUAACCUGCAGACUACAGGUCAUACCAUCCUGGUCAUAGCAGAUUUUUCCUAUGAAGCUGUAACAUGGAAUUACUAAAAAUUCAGAAACUUACAUCAACCACCCCUAUUUUCCAUUGCAAUCUGGUGGUACAUUCUAUGGCAGCAUAAACUUAAAUAGAAUUUCCAGGUGAAUUUUAAUUCUUAUGGUCAUAAUGGUAAGGAGGAAGAAAAGAGAGUGCUAGGGGACUUGCUGGAAGCAGAUUAUGGUCAUAUCUUCUAUGAUAAAUCUCCUAAUACAAAUAUGAUUGUGCAACAGAUGAUGACAUUUGCUAUUAGCAACAGCUGAAAGGUCUUCUUGGCUCCUGAUGUGGAGUUAAGGCAGAGAGAAAUAAAGAACUUCACAAUGCUUUUGUAAAUAAGA